rnacentral:lncRNA from 1 species
GGCUCCUAUUCUCCUUCCUGCUCAGCUACUCUUCUUCUCUUCUCUUCCUUUUUUUUUCUCUUUUCCCUUCUUUUUUUCCGACCUCCCUUUUCUUUUCCUCUCUUUUUUCCUUCCUCUCGGCUUCUGUCAUGCUACAAUCUCCUCUCUUCCCUCUCUCGCUCGACCAUUUUUUUUCUCCUUCCACUCUCUUUCUUCGGGCUCCCUCUUCCUUUCCUCUCCUUAUUUCUUCCUCUUAGCUUCCCCCACGCGACAAUCUCCUCUCUUCCCUCUCACCCAAUUGGCUCACUUCUUUUUCUCAUCCUCUCUCUUUUCCAGCUACUCACCUAAAUGAAGAGAAACCCUAAAUGUUUCCUUUUUAUACCCGUCAUCCCCAACCGUUAGAUCUCACUGGUUCAAUCUGGGUCGUCCAUUCUCAAUUAAAUAUCAGCUACUUGAUCUUUUCAAACAGUUUGAUCAGGACUGUCCUUUCUUUGAUUUCUUU